GGAAGAGAUCCAGUCGGUGGAAG
rnacentral:piRNA from 1 species